rnacentral:rRNA from 1 species
AGAGUUUGAUCCUGGCUCAGGACGAACGCUGGCGGUGUGCUUCACACAUGCAAGUCGAACGGAGUAGCAAUACUCAGUGGCGGACGGGUGAGUAACACGUGGGAAUCUACCAUUAGGUGGGGAAUAACAGGCCGAAAGGACUGCUAAUGCCGCAUAUGUAGGCAUCUCGACAGAGAUGUUUAUGAAAGGAGUAAUCCGCCUUUUGAUGAGCCCGCGUCCGAUUAGCUAGUUGGUAGGGUAAAAGCCUACCAAGGCGACGAUCGGUAGGUGGUCUGAGAGGAUGAUCACCCACAAUGGGACUGAGACACGGCCCAUACUCCUACGGGAGGCAGCAGUGGGGAAUUUUACGCAAUGGGGGAAACCCUGACGUAGCGACACCGCGUGAGCGAAGAAGCCCUUUGGGGUGUAAAGUUCUGUCAACAGGAACGAAACAAAUGACGGUACCUGUGGAGGAAGCAUCGGCUAACUACGUGCCAGCAGCCGCGGUAAGACGUAGGAUGCAAGCGUUGUCCGGAUUUAUUGGGCGUAAAGAGUUCGUAGGCGGUUUGUUAAGUCUGAUGUUAAAGACCGGGGCUCAACCUCGGAAAUGCAUUGGAUACUGGCAGACUGGAGUGCAGUAGAGGCUAGUGGAAUUCCCAGUGUAGCGGUGAAAUGCGUAGA